rnacentral:rRNA from 1 species
GACGGAGGAUGCAAGUGUUAUCCGGAAUCACUGGGCGUAAAGCGUCUGUAGGUGGUCAAAUAAGUCAACUGUUAAAUCUUGAGGCUUAACCUCAAAAUCGCAGUCGAAACUAUUAGACUAGAGUAUAGUAGGGGUAAAGGGAAUUUCCAGUGGAGCGGUGAAAUGCUUAGAUAUUGGGAAGAACACCAACGGCGAAGGCACUUUACUGGGCCAGCACUGACACUGAGAGACGAAAGCUAGGGGAGCAAACGGG